CAGCAGCCGCGGUAAUACGGAGGGUGCGAGCGUUAAUCGGAAUUACUGGGCGUAAAGCGUACGCAGGCGGUUUGUUAAGUCAGAUGUGAAAUCCCCGAGCUUAACUCGGGAACUGCAUUUGAAACUGGCAGGCUAGAGUCUCGUAGAGGGGGGUAGAAUUCCAGGUGUAGCAGUGAAAUGCGCAGAGAUCGGGAGGAAUACCGGUGGCGAAGGCGGCCCCCUGGACAAAGACUGACGCUUAGGUGCGAAAGCGUGGGGAGCAAACAGGAUUAGAUACCCCAGUAGUCCCUGUCUCUUAUAA
rnacentral:rRNA from 1 species